GUGUUCCUCGGGACGCAGCAGUCGGGAAUAUUGCGCAAUGGAGGAAACUCUGACGCAGUGACGCCGCGUAUAGGAAGAAGGUUUUCGGAUUGUAAACUAUUGUCGUUAGGGAAGAAAAAAGACAGUACCUAAGGAGGAAGCUCCGGCUAACUACGUGGCAGCAGCCGCGGUAAUACGUAGGGGGCAAGCGUUGUUCGGAAUGACUGGGCGUAAAGGGUGUGUAGGCGGUUUAGCAAGUUAGAAGUGAAAUACCUAGAGCUUAACUCAGGUGCUGCUUCUAAAACUGCUAGACUUGAGUGCAGUAG
rnacentral:rRNA from 1 species